rnacentral:rRNA from 1 species
AGUGAACGCUGGCGGUAGGCCUAACACAUGCAAGUCGAACGGCAGCACAGUAAGAGCUUGCUCUUACGGGUGGCGAGUGGCGGACGGGUGAGGAAUACAUCGGAAUCUACUUUUUCGUGGGGGAUAACGUAGGGAAACUUACGCUAAUACCGCAUACGACCUACGGGUGAAAGCAGGGGAUCUUCGGACCUUGCGCGAUUGAAUGAGCCGAUGUCGGAUUAGCUAGUUGGCGGGGUAAAGGCCCACCAAGGCGACGAUCCGUAGCUGGUCUGAGAGGAUGAUCAGCCACACUGGAACUGAGACGCGGUCCAGACUCCUACGGGAGGCAGCAGUGGGGAAUAUUGGACAAUGGGCGCAAGCCUGAUCCAGCCAUACCGCGUGGGUGAAGAAGGCCUUCGGGUUGUAAAGCCCUUUUGUUGGGAAAGAAAAGCAGCAGGUUAAUACCCCGCUGUUCUGACGGUACCUAAAGAAUAAGCACCGGCUAACUUCGUG